rnacentral:tRNA from 1 species
GAGCUCAGUCAGUAGAGCAUGAGACUCUUAAUCUCAAGGUCAAGGGUUCGAGCCCCACACU